AUAUAUUCAUUGAGGUGCUCUUGAAUAAAUUGGACGAGAAUUAAUUAGGAGGGGUUUUGGUGGUCGGCUAAUAAGGAGACAAUAAUCUAUCAUAUUCAUCGAAUUAAUUUGGAGGUGCUUGUGGGAUUUUGGUACGAAUUGGAGCUCGAGCUAGGAGUCGACAGGUGGGGUUUUUAAUUCGUACAAGGAGUUUUUAGAGAGAGUGGUACGUGGGUUCUUUUUAUUCGGAGGUCAUAUGGAAUUCGUAAAGUCGGUUAGCAGAGGAAAAUCUUUUGUUUCAAAUUCGAGAAGCAUCACAGCCACAAGUCGAUUUCUAGGAAGGUUACUUACAGGAGCUUCAAUUGGUAUGCUUAUAGGUGGUGGAGCUUAUGCCAACACUGUCGACGAGGCAACAUUUAGGUGAUGUUGAACACACUCAUUUGGUCAAGGGGCUUGACUAUGCUUUAUUGAACAAAGUGAGAAGUGAGAUAAAAAAGAAACCAGAAGUUGAACAUACUGCUACUGAUGCCAAGUCUAGGUAUCUCCUCCCUUCUUCUUCUUCUUCUUCUUCUUCUUCUUCUUCAAACCCAUAUCAACAAAGGAUCCAAUGAAGACAACCCUGUCUCGUUUCGCAAAUGAAAUGCUAAGGUAACCUCAACUGCCCCCGAAUAUCAGUCCCCGUUGGCCUUGAAAUAUAUACAUCUUCAUUUCUGUUGCAAGCCGUUUAUCAGUGGAUAGUGAAGCCUCAAACCGUUCUCAAGCCAAAUGAUAUGUUCCUUCCUGGACGAAUGGCUUUCGUUUUUGACAUGGAGAGGAAGGUUUCUACUGAAACCGAGAGUGUUCGUCGUUGGCGUGAAGAAGAAAGAGAAUUAGGAAAAUUAGGAGUUUGUAAUGGUUAACUUUAGAAUUGUAAAUGAGUUUGUAUUUGAAUUAAACACGUUGUUUUGAUAUAUAUGAAAUGCGUUAUUUUGAUA